GAGUAACACGUGGGUAACCUGCCUGUAAGACUGGGAUAACUUCGGGAAACCGGAGCUAAUACCGGAUAUUUUCUUUUCUCGCAUGAGAGAAGAUGGAAAGAUGGUUCUGCUAUCACUUACAGAUGGACCCGCGGCGCAUUAGCUAGUUGGUGAGGUAAUGGCUCACCAAGGCAACGAUGCGUAGCCGACCUGAGAGGGUGAUCGGCCACACUGGGACUGAGACACGGCCCAGACUCCUACGGGAGGCAGCAGUAGGGAAUCUUCCGCAAUGGACGAAAGUCUGACGGAGCAACGCCGCGUGAGCGAAGAAGGCCUUCGGGUCGUAAAGCUCUGUUGUUAGGGAAGAACAAGUACCGGAGUAACUGCCGGUACCUUGACGGUACCUAACCAGAAAGCCACGGCUAACUACGUGCCAGCAGCCGCGGUAAUACGUAGGUGGCAAGCGUUGUCCGGAAUUAUUGGGCGUAAAGCGCGCGCAGGCGGUCCUUUAAGUCUGAUGUGAAAGCCCACGGCUCAACCGUGGAGGGUCAUUGGAAACUGGGGGACUUGAGUGCAGAAGAGGAGAGUGGAAUUCCACGUGUAGCGGUGAAAUGC
rnacentral:rRNA from 1 species